rnacentral:lncRNA from 1 species
ACGUUGCCACGUUGUCAAGCAGGAAGGGUUAGCACGAGAAGAGUGCGGGGCCCGCAGAAUGUGAUGGACGGGAUCGGUGGUGACCGAUGGCCGCGGCCCACCGGUUUGAUUUACUUUUGGGUACGCGUUUUGUAUGUAUUGGUUGGAAAGGUGGGUCCACGUUCUGUGGUAAGUAAUACUGCAAUCAAACAACGGCACAC